rnacentral:ncRNA from 20 species
GAUUUAUAAAGAAGAGGGGAGAGAACGGGCUCUUUGAACCUCUAGCAACCUCCGGGAGCAAAUCCAGAAAGGUGCUAAUUCCUGACCUGAAUAAACAGGGCAUAUAAAUU